UUUAGAGGAAGGGUAUGAAGAUGAAGUUUCAGAAUUACCAAUCAGAUCCUCCAUGAAUUUUAAUGAAUAGCAGUUUUCUUUGAAAAGAAUGAAUACUAGUUGAUUGGUUAUCACUCAUCAGUUUGGAAGGUGGACUUGCAUUAGGGUAGAGUUAUAUUGGGGAGCACAUACUAAGAGAUAGAUUGUUGGUGAAUUGUGUGGGUUGGGGGAGACAUUCGCAUUUUCUCCUUUCAGCAGUAUAUCAUUACUUAAUCCUCUUUUAUUUUUUAUUUUUUGGUGGUUAUUUGCAUGGAAGUAUGGAAUUAGCUUCCUUUACCCUUGGUGUUGACGUAAAGGAUGCGCUGGUCUCGCAUUUUACAGGAUUAACUCAAUUCAGGCAGAGCUUCUAUAUAUUCUUCAAGGGUUGUAUUGUUAUCUCUUUGAGAUAAAUAUUCCAUAAGAUUGGAGGUAGAAGGUGAUUCACAGGUGGUGAUUAGGUGGAUGAAUUGAGAGGUAGAAGUUCCAUAGGUGUUCCAACAUGCAUUCAGGAGUUUCUUGCCAGCAGUCUGAACACCUUGUUCAGAUGGAUUAGAAGAUCUGCUGAUACACUGGAAGAUGAGCUUGCUAGAGAAAUGAUAAAUUGGGUGGAACUGUAUUCCUGGCAUUCUCAGUUAGGCAAUGAGUGAAGUUCCUGAACCAGGAGAUCUGUAUAGUUGAUGUAUUCAGGUCCUAUUGUACAGGGGAUUCAUUUCAAGCAGAAAUGUAGUCCAUUCUCCAAGGCCCUAUUAGUCAGGGGGAUUCAACUUGAGCAGAAUGAUCACCCCUACAUCUGCUGGUUGAGAGGUGGAGACUGGAGAUGCAGGUCCUUGGUUUCUUCAGACCAAAUCAGGGAGGUUAGAGCUUUAGUCUCGAUUUUGGAGGCUACUAUUUUCUGGGUCUCUGGUUCAGCAAGUAAGUUCACUGGCAUUUCUAGCUAAAAUGAGGCAAUACUUAACAAUGUUUUAAAAAAUGGAGGUGUGACACGGAGCGUUCCACUACCUGGAGGCAUGGGCACAGUUCAGAACGUAAGAGGUACAAGCCUCCCGAGUACAAGGAAUUUAUUUGGUGUAAGCCUCCCAGGCGUUCCACUACCUGGGUUUUCUUUUGCCCAGAUUUACACCUUUAUAAUGCAAAUAUCUCAAUAUUGAUUGCUUUUCCUCUGCUCCAUUGGCAGAGUUUAUUUGGUGAAAGUGAGGUACCUAAUCUUCAUUGUUCAUCCUCUUUUUAUGCAAUAGAAAUUGAACCUCUGAUUCUUAUAUUAAGUUUUGAAAGUGGUUAACAAAAAUAUCUAGUAACAUAAAUAUUCAAUGAUUGUAACCCUUAUCAUUGUCAUUUACUAUUACACUUUUUCAUCUCCUUAACAGCUGAUACCUGUAUCAUAAGAAUCUACCAUGGUCAUGUUCUCGUACAAUUAGAAGUGAGAGAUAUUUAAACAGGGCAAAAAACAAGAAAAUAUUUUCUGUGAACAUUUGAGAACAGUUUCUCUAGGUCCGUUAAAAAUUUAUGAUGUCACUCUACUUAACAUUUUAUUUAUAAUAAUCUGCUAGAUAAUUUGUUGUAGUUGUUAUUUUGUGCUAUUCAGACAUGUACAACCAAAGGGUAUUAGGCAUUAUGAACUAUAUUCAUGAGUGUGCUACAUCAUUAGGAACUGUUUCAAAUGUUGCAUUAUUAGUUUAUGUUCUUUGUAAGAAAUAAUGUGAUUUUCAGGAGGAUGAAAAUGACAAGCUUAUAUUCAGUGAUAAAAAUAACAUCAAAAGGCAAUAUAUAUAUAUAUUUUUUUUUGAGAUGACAGAGGUGGGAGUAAUUAUAAGGCUUGAUCACAAUAAGGGUUGCACAUUGGAUGUCUAAGAUGGAGUCCAGUCUUCAUAUUCAUGCAUGUGGAUGCAAUUAUAAGAGGCUGGCAAAGAGUGAGCUAGUAGCUAACUUUUCAGGGCCAGUAUCGGGGGCAGAGCUAUAAGGGUGGAGAUUCUAGUUCCUUUGUGGGGCUUCAUAGUGAAAUACUACUUGUGCCAAACAGACUGAAAGGUGAAGGAGACUCUUAUAGUAUGAUUUAAUAGAUGCAGAGCCAUUAGGAUAGCUUAUUGUCACUUAGGCACUAGUAAACUAGCAACAUGAUGGAUUGUUCAGAUGCAUACAAACUACAGAGGUCAGCCAACAUCCUUGAAGAUAGUAUAUCUAGAGGAGUAAAGAGUGAAAUUCUUUACAAUCCUGUUUUAUUGGAUUGAAUGCUGAAAGUGGAAUUCUCAAUACAUGGAAAAGAAAUUUGGUGACUUUCAUUUCUACACCAUUGGAGUAACUGGGCAAUCUUGACACACAGAGAGCUUCACUUUUAGUCUCUGGGUGCCUGUUGGUUUCUAUGUUACCCAGAUAUGGCAAGGAUAUUGAUGGACACAUUGUCGAUCUGAAAUUAACAGUUAAACUUGAAGUAUCCUGUAUCUGACACGAUAUGGCACACUUGUACAGGUAUCUAGAUAUCAUAGGUUGAUUAUUUAUUGUUUUCCAUGACUAGUUUAUUAAGGUCAAGAAAGUCAUAAGAUUUAAUGAAAAUGUUAUUGACUACAUUGGCUAUAUCUAGGUGUGGAAUGUGAAUGAUAUCGUUAAUGAUGUAUAAUGAAUCCACCAUAUAUUAAUGAUACUUGUUGGUUUCAUUACUUGCUUGGCCGAGUCUUUCUACCAUUAAUCCACAGGAGGGGUUUAAAGUAGAUCAAUACAACCCUAUUUUUGGGGUAAACCUCUUUAGUUCUUGAUUCUAGACUCUGGCAUCGGCCUGGACAUGCACUUCUCUGACGAUUCCAUUGUACAAAGACAUUCAAUUCUAGACACAAAGAGCUUCACUUUUAGUCUCAGACCUGCAAGCUUGAUUCAACAUCUAAAAGCCGUAUCUAUAAAUUUUACAAAGAAGGGCUUCACCCCUCAAUGAUAUGGCAGGGGUUCUUCUCAUCAAGAGUUAGAAGCAUCCUCAUGGCAUUACAAAUGCAGCUCAAUGCAUACUGAACCUUUAUAUUUGCUGUUGAUAGGAUCUGCUGGGUGUAGCCAUGGCUGGACAUGGAGGUUUAGUGAGCCUCCAGUGGACAUUCAUUUCAUGAAGAAGAAACAAGGGAACAACAGAACUGUUAAAGUGUAUUUUGGACCAUAAAGAGACAAACUGGAUUUUCGAAAUAAUGUCAGGUGCAUGUAAUGUCACAUGCAAAUGGAUCAUAAUGGAUGGCUAAUGCACAGGCGUAAUAUUUGUCCAAUGACAUCACCUAACAGGGGAGGUCUGAGUCAUUUCACAAGAGAGAGAGAGAGAGAGAGAGAGAGAGAGAGAGAGGAGAUUUUGGUAUUUGUCAGAAACCUCAAAGGAGGUUUUAGUAUUUUUCUCAAUUUUUAAGGAUUAUUCAAGGUCUAAAGAAGCAAUCAUAGAAAGCAUUUCAGUUAAAGUGGCACAUUGGAUCAAAACUUUUAAGGCAUUUAAACCAUUCUCUUUGGAUGAUUUCUCCAAAACUGGUAAUUAAUGGAAUCUUCCAAGGCUAGAUCCAUGGUCUCUUGGCAGUGGUGUCCGCCCAGCCCUAACCUUGUACACUAAAUUUUGAUGGAUGGAGCUUGGGAAAUUGAGGACAAUCAGGUAUAGGGUAGAGACGGCCAGUGAUUUUUUUUAGCCAUUUACUCCAGUCCUAUAGGCCGUGGGAACUCAAGAGCUGAGUUAUUUGUGGAACUUCAAGGAAUGUGGUUGGCAACAUCACUAGCAUUAGAGUAUUGAUGGUGGAAGGUGAUUUAAGGGUGGUGUUGUGCUGGUUAAAAGGAAAGAGAAGUAUAGGAUUGUGGCAUUAUUGGAACAACAUGAAGGAGACAAGGUCAAUGGCAAGGGAAAUAGCAUUUAAGUUCUAUUGGACUCGGAUCAGAAAACACCUUGGUGGAUGCAUUUAUCUAAACAGUGUGUAAAUAGGCUGCAACUAUUAUGGGGAUUGUUGAGGCGUGAAAAUGGGAUGCAUGGCAUAAUUGUGUAUAAACAAUUUUUUUUCUUCUCUAUGUAUUAAAAGUUAACAGUUACCAAUGAAAAGAAGAAUCACAAAAAAUGUUAAGAGAAAUAAGGAAGAUGGAUCUAUGUGGCUUAGAGAUUUUCUCAAUUUAUUCUUUAAUAAUAAAAAGAUCAGGAAUCAGUUUAAAUUUUGAUAUUUAUUUCGACAAAGGAGUUCCAUGUAUGAUAUUAUCUAAGUGCUUACAUAUAUUUAUCUUAGUUUGCUUUUGGAACAACAUGAAGAUGUUUAUAUUUAUUGUUCUACAUUCUAAAAUGCUGAUUGUUGAUGUACAUGGUAAAUAGUUCCAGUACAUUUAUUAUGCCAUUCUCUAACACUGUAUUCUGUUGUUACCAGAUUAUACUGCAGUUUAUAGAAGUAAUUAGAAAUGACCAUUCAGGUAUAUCCUGUAUGAGGGUAGUGCCUUGUCUCAUCUCAAGAAGAUGGGUAUUUAAUGGCUUCUAGGUUCAUAUUCAUAUUUGGUGAUCGUUUGUGUUAUCCUUCAAUUCACUAUUAAUUUUUGUUGAAUCUGAUGUACUACGUUUGUGAAGAAAGGAGAAAAAUGAUAUAAAUCCUGUGAGAAGAUAACCACAUGAAUUUGUAUGGUUCAUAGAAGACUGUGUAAAAACUGUUUCACUGUUCUUAAAAACCACAUUAUUGCUGAAUUUCAAUUUCGUAUUUAUAACUCCAACAUAUGGAGAUACCCACUUUAUGCUAUGCUUCUGUUAACAUAAGAGCUUUUUUCAGUGGUGACAGCAUGCUAGAGAAUAGAAAGAACCAUUUUGCAUUGAUGUCAAUUUUAUUAAUGAAAUCCUUUUUGAACCAAAUUCAAAGUUGUCUUAUUCAACCAUGCAAGCUGUUAUCAUAUACUGUAAAUCUGUUUGUAUGUAUGUCCUUUCAGAGAAGAAAAUAGUACAUUAAGCUCCUCUGUGAGCAUUUAGUGCACAAUUAUUACAUGACCUACGUUGACCAGAUUGUUUGUGGAAGUGGAACCUGAAGAUGGUGAGGACUGAGGAGAUAGGGUUGGUUGCAAUGGGCAGAAAAUUUGUUGCAAAAUCAGUGUAAGGAUUGAAGCUCAGAGGUCCAGGAGCUUGUCCUUGCCUCCCUGGUCCUGUCACAAGUCAGUUUAGAGAUGAAACUGUUACCUCUACAGCCACAGGGUGUUUAUUGAGCAAACUGCAACCAGGACUCCAGACCCGUGAGACAAAAGCAUGCUUUGCUUUGCUUGAAUUAACUGAUUUUAGUUGUGUCAUGUACUUACAAGUGCAAUCACUCGGCAGCUUGUUGGCUAAAGCAGGAUACUGUUUGGCCAGGCCCUUGUGUACGUGCCAACCCCCAAAUGUCGACUUGUAUCCCUUUACUGCCACAUUCUUUUGACAUCUAUGGGAAGGGGUUUGAACGUUUUGUUCUUCUUUUCUUUUUGGUACUACA